UGAGGAAUAUUGGUCAAUGGACGCAAGUCUGAACCAGCCAUGUCGCGUGCAGGAUGACUGCCCUAUGGGUUGUAAACUGCUUUUGUAUGGGAAGAAAGUGAGAUACGUGUAUCUCUUUGCCGGUACCAUACGAAUAAGGAUCGGCUAACUCCGUGCCAGCAGCCGCGGUAAUACGGAGGAUCCAAGCGUUAUCCGGAUUUAUUGGGUUUAAAGGGUGCGUAGGCGGUUUAAUAAGUCAGUGGUGAAAUCUUGCAGCUUAACUGUAAAAUUGCCAUUGAUACUGCUAGACUUGAGUAUAGUUGAGGUGGGCGGAAUGUGUUGUGUAGCGGUGAAAUGCAUAGAUAGAACACAGAACACCAAAUGCGAAGGCAGCUCACUAAGCUAUAACUGACGCUGAGGCACGAAAGCGUGGGGGGCAAACA
rnacentral:rRNA from 1 species